rnacentral:rRNA from 1 species
AUUGAACGCUGGCGGAAUGCUUUACACAUGCAAGUCGAGCGGCAGCGCGGGGCAACCUGGCGGCGAGCGGCGAACGGGUGAGUAACAUAUCGGAACGUAUCCAUAAGUGGGGGACAACCUAGCGAAAGUUAGGCUAAUACCGCAUACGCUCGAGAGAGGAAAGUGGGGGAUCGCAAGACCUCACGCUUUAGGAGCGGCCGAUAUCAGAUUAGCUAGAUGGGAGGUAAAGGCUUACCAUGGCGACGAUCUGUAGCUGGUCUGAGAGGAUGAUCAGCCACACUGGGACUGAGACACGGCCCAGACUCCUACGGGAGGCAGCAGUGGGGAAUUUUGGACAAUGGGGCAACCCUGAUCCAGCCAUUCCGCGUGAGUGAAGAAGGCCU